rnacentral:rRNA from 1 species
UUUAUGGAGAGUUUGAUCCUGGCUCAGGAUGAACGCUGGCGGCGUGCCUAAUACAUGCAAGUCGAGCGAACGGACGAGAAGCUUGCUUCUCUGAUGUUAGCGGCGGACGGGUGAGUAACACGUGGAUAACCUACCUAUAAGACUGGGAUAACUUCGGGAAACCGGAGCUAAUACCGGAUAAUAUUUUGAACCGCAUGGUUCAAAAGUGAAAGACGGUCUUGCUGUCACUUAUAGAUGGAUCCGCGCUGCAUUAGCUAGUUGGUAAGGUAACGGCUUACCAAGGCAACGAUGCAUAGCCGACCUGAGAGGGUGAUCGGCCACACUGGAACUGAGACACGGUCCAGACUCCUACGGGAGGCAGCAGUAGGGAAUCUUCCGCAAUGGGCGAAAGCCUGACGGAGCAACGCCGCGUGAGUGAUGAAGGUCUUCGGAUCGUAAAACUCUGUUAUUAGGGAAGAACAUAUGUGUAAGUAACUGUGCACAUCUUGACGGUACCUAAUCAGAAAGCCACGGCUAACUACGUGCCAGCAGCCGCGGUAAUACGUAGGUGGCAAGCGUUAUCCGGAAUUAUUGGGCGUAAAGCGCGCGUAGGCGGUUUUUUAAGUCUGAUGUGAAAGCCCACGGCUCAACCGUGGAGGGUCAUUGGAAACUGGAAAACUUGAGUGCAGAAGAGGAAAGUGGAAUUCCAUGUGUAGCGGUGAAAUGCGCAGAGAUAUGGAGGAACACCAGUGGCGAAGGCGACUUUCUGGUCUGUAACUGACGCUGAUGUGCGAAAGCGUGGGGAUCAAACAGGAUUAGAUACCCUGGUAGUCCACGCCGUAAACGAUGAGUGCUAAGUGUUAGGGGUUUCCGCCCCUUAGUGCUGCAGCUAACGCAUUAAGCACUCCGCCUGGGGAGUACGACCGCAAGGUUGAAACUCAAAGGAAUUGACGGGGACCCGCACAAGCGGUGGAGCAUGUGGUUUAAUUCGAAGCAACGCGAAGAACCUUACCAAAUCUUGACAUCCUUUGACAACUCUAGAGAUAGAGCCUUCCCCUUCGGGGGACAAAGUGACAGGUGGUGCAUGGUUGUCGUCAGCUCGUGUCGUGAGAUGUUGGGUUAAGUCCCGCAACGAGCGCAACCCUUAAGCUUAGUUGCCAUCAUUAAGUUGGGCACUCUAAGUUGACUGCCGGUGACAAACCGGAGGAAGGUGGGGAUGACGUCAAAUCAUCAUGCCCCUUAUGAUUUGGGCUACACACGUGCUACAAUGGACAAUACAAAGGGCAGCGAAACCGCGAGGUCAAGCAAAUCCCAUAAAGUUGUUCUCAGUUCGGAUUGUAGUCUGCAACUCGACUACAUGAAGCUGGAAUCGCUAGUAAUCGUAGAUCAGCAUGCUACGGUGAAUACGUUCCCGGGUCUUGUACACACCGCCCGUCACACCACGAGAGUUUGUAACACCCGAAGCCGGUGGAGUAACCUUUUAGGAGCUAGCCGUCGAAGGUGGGACAAAUGAUUGGGGUGAAGUCGUAACAAGGUAGCCGUAUCGGAAGGUGCGGCUGGAUCACCUCCUUU